CACGUAGGGCGCGAGCGUUGUCCGGAAUUAUUGGGCGUAAAGAGCUCGUAGGCGGCCUGUUGCGUCCGCUGUGAAAGCCCGGGGCUUAACCCCGGGUCGGCAGUGGAUACGGGCAGGCUAGAGGUAGGUAGGGGAGAAUGGAAUUCCCGGUGUAGCGGUGAAAUGCGCAGAUAUCGGGAGGAACACCGGUGGCGAAGGCGGUUCUCUGGGCAUGUCCUGACGCUGAGGAGCGAAAGUGUGGGGAGCGAACAGG
rnacentral:rRNA from 1 species